AACGAACGCUGGCGGCAUGCCUAACACAUGCAAGUCGAACGAUUGCCUUCGGGUGAUAGUGGCGCACGGGUGCGUAACGCGUGGGAAUCUGCCCUUAGGUUCGGAAUAACAGCUGGAAACGGCUGCUAAUACCGGAUGAUAUCGCGAGAUCAAGGAUUUAUCGCCUGAGGAUGAGCCCGCGUUGGAUUAGGUAGUUGGUGGGGUAAAGGCCUACCAAGCCGACGAUCCAUAGCUGGUCUGAGAGGAUGAUCAGCCACACUGGGACUGAGACACGGCCCAGACUCCUACGGGAGGCAGCAGUGGGGAAUAUUGGACAAUGGGCGCAAGCCUGAUCCAGCAAUGCCGCGUGAGUGAUGAAGGCCCUAGGGUUGUAAAGCUCUUUUACCCGGGAAGAUAAUGACUGUACCGGGAGAAUAAGCCCCGGCUAACUCCGU
rnacentral:rRNA from 1 species